ACAACGCAGGUGUCUUGCCACCUGUGCUGGUAAAAAUAUAAAAAAAAAAAAAAUAUUAUUAUUUCGACCACGAACAAGAGUUUUUAGCCUGGAGUAAACCAUACAAUCUAUUAAAACAAUGAGAAGUUUUACUUGGAUGAAUCUCGGUUUUUCUAUGUUAAUAUGAGAACAAUCACCUUGACGGUCAAGGGAGGAAAUUUUCGCCUCUUUCGCUAAUUACCGUAGUAGUAAUAGUACAGAUUACUAGCGUUAAGUCAAACAUACUUAACCAGAAAAAGCCAAUUAUCGCGUCUAAGAAGUGAGAGACGGAGAGGAGGGGAAAAAAUUACAGUCGUGCGGAAAACUAUCCGGAAGUGACGUAAUCGUACCUGCCGGAAUUUUAACACGCGACGUUUUACUAAUUUAAAUAUUCGGUAAAUAUUUAUUUAUUCGUUUUUAUAUUAGGAUACACAACCUUUAAAAAUGCUGUAGGAGUGUGUAAUCGGCGUACGAAGUGGGACACAUGAUCGAAUCGAACUACUUUCAUGACAGAUGAGUUUAAUUCGGUUUUAUGGUUCAACCAGACUGGCGGAUGUGGGUCAACAGGUCAUGUUGGACCUAGGGCGGGACAAGUCGGUGCAUGGUAUCGAUCGAUACGUUAUUACUAAGGAUGCAAAUCGAAUACGCGACGCCAUAUGGGAAGACAUCGCCAAAUUCGGAAAGCUGUCACGCGUUAGCGAGCGCCGGAAAUCGUCCUAAAACACACAAAAGACAGGUGUAUUUGACUAGGAUCAGGAAUUCUUGACGGCAGGUGAUCUAUCAGAGAGAUAGCAGCUAACCCGAACUUGAUAAUGUAUAUAUAUAUAUAAUAUGUAAACCCGACCGGCUGGCGGAACUCGUGGUCACUCUUCAAAAGAGUAACGUUUAAGAGAGGGAAACGCCCUGCUUACUUCCGGGUUAAUCCCCAGUCGAUCAACCCCUGCAGGAACGCUCUGACCCUGAAACAGUUCACAGAAAAGGAACGGUCGUACCCAAAAACUCUCUUUAAAAAAAAAAAAAGGAGAAGAAUGUUACUAGUAUAAACCGAUCGAAAGGCAAAAAUCACAAAGGCAUUGUAACCUAAAUAAAUUUUAAGGGGAUGCACGACGACGAAACAGCUGUGUCUUAGUGUGGCGAGCGUGUGAACACGUGUCUUUUCGUGACUGGAGUAAACAUAACAUCUGCGCUCUCGAACCGAUUUAGAAACGUCAACUGUCCAAUCACGAUUGAAUUAGGAGAAAACGUCGAUUGUCUCUGCUUCCAAUUCUUACUCAUCACCGCCACAACUUCGCAUAUCGAAAAAAGAAAGAAAGAAAAAAAAUAGAAGUAAUAAUUUUAGAGGAAGCAGUAACCAU
rnacentral:lncRNA from 1 species